rnacentral:lncRNA from 1 species
GAAAAAGAUAGCCUUGCUUUUCACUCUGCCUCAUGAUACAGAAAGCCACAACUGAAAAAAAUGCAGACUUUGGAAAAUUGGGAUAAUAAAAUCUUAUUGAAAAAAUGGUCAUUAAUUUGUUCAGGGUUGAGAUUUGCCUUAGACCUUGUGUAAUGAAUUCUGUGUGGAAGGUAAUACCAAAUGUUACUGCUCUGAUGCUGUGCUUUAGAGCUUUAUCCCUCCUCAACAUUGCUGCCCAAGGGUAAACUACAGUACCAUGGGUCUACCCCAAGCUGCUUGCAGCAGGAACAACCUUUAACCCUGCUCCCAAGGGAGAGGACUUGUCCUGUACGAUUUUUCAGUCAGGAUGUGGUACUGCAGAUGCUGCUGAAAGAAUGACCACUUGAAAGAUCAUGAGAUCUAUGUAGUGUUUCAAAAGCUAUCUGCUUGCUCAGGCAAAUGAAAUAUAUGAAAAGAGGUCAUGCUGCAUGUUAUUAUAUUGUUUUUACAAAACCAGAGUAUUUUUUUCAAACUAGGUAAACUGCUGUACAUGUGUUUUAUCAUCUGAGUAAUAUAUAGCCCCACUGGCACUUUUUAACUUUCUGCAUAUUUUCAACUGCUGCAGAAUUUUAAAUCCUAUCUAUUUAAUAUAGUUUUCACUGUUUGAAUCCUUGAAAAAAAACUUGAAGUGUUCCCUGUACUUACACUUUUGAGAGCUGAAGCUGUGCCAGAAUGCCUUCACAGAUCCUGAAAAUGGUAAUUAUAGAAAUGGAAGUUAGAUGUAUGCACCAGGAACCUGGGGAGCUGCAAUGUUUCUAGCUGCAAAUAGAUCCAUGGCCUAGGAAAUUUUAGCGUUGUGAUUCUUGAUAACAGAGAGGCAUGUAAGAAAUGUGGACCAAAGCAAGUACUUUUCCUCCUUUUCCCAUUAUUCUUGUUACUUGCAGUAUUACUUUCGGUCUCACAUGGCUUCCCAGAGGAGAACCCCCACCUAAGUCUCUUACUGGUCUGUAAUCUCUACAGUUUUAUGUGGCAACUUGAGCUGUGGACGGUGAAGAGAAAGAAGGGCUAUACUGGGGAUAACAGGACCAAAAGGCUGCUGGAAUAUUUUUGACUUGGUUGUUCCCGGCGUGUGGCAGCUUUGCAUGUAACCAGAGCACUUCUCCUGUGCUGUAUAUAGCUGGUGCAGCAAGUGCUGCCUCUCCAAAGG